rnacentral:lncRNA from 1 species
AUGACUUCAGUUCCUUCAAGAAAACAGAAUGUUUAUGCGUCAUAUUCUCUUCAUUCAAGUCGUCCUUCCACUUCUGAAACGAUGGAGGCAAUGGAGAUUGAUCCUGUACCUUCACCAAUGAGGAGACUGGAGACACCAACUGGUCCAACAAGAUUAUCAGUAAUAACUCCACCACAGGAUGGACGCAUGGGUAGUGUAUCCUACAGGAGUUCUCAGAUAGCUCUAAUAAAGCCAAGUCAGUGUAUUGGAGCAGGAUCUACAAGAUCCACCCCUGUGGUGAGAUUACCACAUAGUGCUUGUCCAUCAUCAUCUGGAUCCCAAAGCAGUCAAAGGGGAUCGUGGGCUAUUUCUGAUUUCAGAACCCCUCAGCUGUACCCAUUUACAUCACCUUCCCCUCAGCUGCCUCUGUCAAGGCAGCCAAUCACCAUCUGUGGACGUCUGCAAAGACAGCAAGGAUCAACUAAUUUAGGAGGACAUUCAGCAGAGAGAUGAGCAAACAUCUGUGAAUUGUUUUGGUUAAGAAGCAUCUGGAGAAGCAGUGCAUAGUCUGUGGAUAUCAAAGUAUUUGUAACUUCCAUGAUACGUCAAAUUGGCAUAAACCAGCAAAUUGUUCAGCAUGAAUACUGCAUUUAAAACAUCAUUGAUAUUUCUGAUUAACACCUACUGAUGUUUUAGAUGGGAGUACAAAAUUUUCUUGUUUUCUGAAAUUCUGGCUUCAAGAGCAUUUUUUGCUGCAGGAUAAAUAGUAGUGCCUGUACAGUAUUAUAGAUAAACUUCAAUCCUAAAAAAAAAGACAUUUCUUUAUGGAUUUUUGAUUACAGAAUUCCAAAAUUUGGUUCUUACUCAAUGCAUCUCCUUUUGUUUGCAUUCUUGAAAAGAGGUAAGUUUUGAGGGAUAUUACAUUCUAGCAGGCUCUGCUGAGCUCAGAACACAGUAUCUGUUCCAUGCUUGUCAAAGUUCACUAUUUGAUUUAGGUAGCAACAAUUUCUUCCCAAAAUGGAAGGAAAUGGGGGAACUGGAAUGAAGUGACAAAACACAGCAAAGAAUACUUUUACUUUUGCACAGGAAUAGCAGCUGGAGGCUCUGAAUGAAGGGUGCCAGAAUUUUCUUUUCUGAGAACAACUCUGGAAUUCAUAUGCCCUCCAUCACUGUGUAUGUGGCAAAAUUUUGGUAUGACUGAGUCAUCAAAUGCCUUUGUUUUGUUUUGACCCUAACUUUACGACUAUUUUAAGUAUAAUAAAACUAAAAGCUGGUGUGUUUUUUUGAGAUAA